rnacentral:rRNA from 1 species
CUCGGAGUUUGAUCCCUGGCUCAGGAUGAACGCUAGCGGCAGGCUUAACACAUGCAAGUCGAGGGGUAUAGUUCUUCGGAGCUAGAGACCGGCGCACGGGUGCGUAACGCGUAUGCAAUCUACCUUUUACAGAGGGAUAGCCCGAGAGAAACUUUGGAUUAAUACCUCAUAGUAUGUGAGAAUCGCAUGGUUUUCACAUUAAAGUUCCAACGGUAAAGAUGAGCAUGCGUCCCAUUAGC